rnacentral:rRNA from 1 species
UCAACUUGAGAGUUUGAUCCUGGCUCAGAACGAACGCUGGCGGCAGGCCUUAUACAUGCAAGUCGAGCGCAUCCUUCGGGAUGAGCGGCGGACGGGUGAGUAACGCGUGGGAAUGUGCCCUUCUCUACGGAAUAGCCACUGGAAACGGUGAGUAAUACCGUAUACGCCCUCAGGGGGAAAGAUUUAUCGGAGAAGGAUCAGCCCGCGUUAGAUUAGGUAGUUGGUGGGGUAACGGCCUACCAAGCCUACGAUCUAUAGCUGGUUUUAGAGGAUGAUCAGCCACACUGGGACUGAGACACGGCCCAGACUCCUACGGGAGGCAGCAGUAGGGAAUCUUGGACAAUGGGGGCAACCCUGAUCCAGCCAUGCCGCGUGAGUGAAGAAGGCCCUAGGGUCGUAAAGCUCUUUCGCCUGUGAUGAUAAUGACAGUAGCAGGUAAAGAAACCCCGGCUAACUCCGUGCCAGCAGCCGCGGUAAUACGGAGGGGGUUAGCGUUGUUCGGAAUUACUGGGCGUAAAGCGCACGUAGGCGGA